UGUUGUUUGUCGUGACUGCGCUCUUCUUAUGGUUACUGUUCGUGUCGUGUCGUGUCGUGUCGUGUCGUGUCGUGUCGUGUCGUGUCGUGUCGUGUCGUGUCCAGUCCAGUCGUGUCCAGCCUGUUCUCUGACGAGAUCCAGUUUUUGACCUCGCACCACUGAGGAAGAUGGCCGCCAGCUGCUCCUGCUGCACCCUGUGACAGACCAGAGAGAACUUCAUUCACCUGCUAACCCCUCUGGCCCUCUGGCCCUCUGCCCCUCUGCUGGAGAAGAGCCAUGUGAGGAAUCACCAAAGAGCGUCUGCUGCCGGCCUGCAGGGGGCGCUGCCGGCACACAGAGCAAAGGUUUCUACAGGUGGCAACAAGUCAGCGGGUUCAUCGUUUCAGAAAACACGGUCCGGAGCCGAAGAACCGCCGGAGCGGGCCAUGCAGCGAGUGGAAAAGGCUCCUCAGCGCGUCUAAAUAAAGGUGUAAUGUCCGAGGACAGCCACAGGGGGCAGCGGUGACUCGGGAAAAGCAGACGUUCUCAUGCAAAAGAAACAACAUUCACUGAAUAAAUUACGUUUCACGCUGAAGUUCGAAGCGAAGGAUCUACAGCCAACUCAUUAUUUUACAAAACAAAAAAGAACCUAAAGAGAAUCUGCCGCUAAAGUCAACAACGUGGGACUAAACCUGAACUGCAACUACGUAUCCCAGAAUGCCCCAGCGAGCAGCGCCCCCUACAGUCUGAGUGUAAUGUCUGAUAAAAGUCCGGAGAGUUCUGUGGAUCCGUGGAGGUCCUCACUCGGGCCUGGAACAGAGAGAGGAGGGUUUGUUUUUAAAGCUGCAAACGCACAAAGGAUCAGAGCUACGGCUGGGGAAAAAUCGAUUUGAUUUAAAAAUCGAGUUGGUAGGUCAAAUCGAUUCAUUUUAGAUUUUUUGUUAGAUAUUUAUUUUAUUUUAUUUUUUAGCUCUCUGCUUAGAGGAAUAAGGUCCUGCUGUACAAAUGUGCCUCAGUUACCUCAGGAUUUUUGUUUUAUUAGCUUAAUCCAAAUACUGUAAAUAAUUUGGAUGUUUAACAAUCUUUUGUCAUAGUGACUUUAGUUAGAGGAAGGGUUUGCCUUUGCAGUUUUUUUUAUGUUGGUUAACUUUAAUUAAAUACAAUAAAUAUAUAUUUUUUAAAUAUAUUUAUAGUUCGUAUUAUUUUUAAAUGGGGGGGGGGAUCAAAUCGAAUAUCGAGUUUUUUAUUUUUUAAAAAUCGCCGAUUUUUUUUUUGGGGGGGGAAAAAUAUCACCCAGCUCUAAUCAGAGCGUAUUUUACGGUUACCAUAGUUACCACAAUAGGAUUUAUGUGAAACCAGGACUGAACAGGACUGAACCAGGACUGAACCAGGACUAACCCGGUACAAACCCUGACCCGUACCAGGUCUCGGCUCGGUCUUUAGAUUCACAAACGUUCCAUCAGAAAGAGGAACGAGCAAACUGUUCAAAAGCAAACUGGACACGACGGGAAACUUUUGUGCAAGAAAAGAUCCACUAUUUCA
rnacentral:lncRNA from 1 species